UACGUAGGGUGCGAGCGUUGUUCGGAAUCACUGGGCGUAAAGGGCGUGUAGGCGGUCCGCUAAGUCUGAUGUGAAAGCCCGGGGCUCACCCCCGGAAGGGCAUUGGAAACUGGCGGACUCGAGUCCCGGAGAGGAAGGUGGAAUUCCUGGUGUAGCGGUGAAAUGCGUAGAUAUCAGGAGGAACACCGGUGGCGAAGGCGGCGUUCUGGACUGCAUCUGACACUGAGAGGCGAGAGCCAGGGGAGCAAACGGG
rnacentral:rRNA from 1 species